rnacentral:rRNA from 1 species
CUACGGGGGGCAGCAGUGAGGAAUAUUGCACAAUGGGGGAAACCCUGAUGCAGCAACGCCGCGUGGAGGAUGACGCAUUUCGGUGUGUAAACUCCUUUUAUGAGUCAAGAAAAUGACGGUAGCUCAUGAAUAAGCACCGGCUAACUCCGUGCCAGCAGCCGCGGUAAUAAGGAGGGUGCAAGCGUUACUCGGAAUCACUGGGCGUAAAGGACGCGUAGGCGGGAUGUCAAGUCAGGUGUGAAAUCCUAUGGCUCAACCAUAGAACUGCACUUGAAACUGGCAACCUAGAGUAUGGGAGGGGGAGAUGGAAUUAGUGGUGUAGGGGUAAAAUCCGUAGAUAUCACUAGGAAUACCGAAAGCGAAGGCGAUCUGCUGGAACAUUACUGACGCUAAGGCGCGAAAGCGUGGGGAGCAAACGGGAUUAGAUACCCUCGUAGUC